rnacentral:rRNA from 1 species
GAUGAACGCUGGCGGCGUGCCUAAUACAUGCAAGUCGAGCGAACGGACGAGAAGCUUGCUUCUCUGAUGUUAGCGGCGGACGGGUGAGUAACACGUGGAUAACCUACCUAUAAGACUGGGAUAACUUCGGGAAACCGUAGCUAAUACCGGAUAAUAUUUUGAACCGCAUGGUUCAAAAGUGAAAGACGGUCUUGCUGUCACUUAUAGAUGGAUCCGCGCUGCAUUAGCUAGUUGGUAAGGUAACGGCUUACCAAGGCAACGAUGCAUAGCCGACCUGAGAGGGUGAUCGGCCACACUGGAACUGAGACACGGUCCAGACUACUACGGGAGGCAGCAGUAGGGAAUCUUCCGCAAUGGGCGAAAGCCUGACGGAGCAACGCCGAGUGAGUGAUGAAGGUCUUCGGAUCGUAAAACUCUGUUAUUAGUGAAGAACAGAUGUGUAAGUAACUGUGCACAUCUUGACGGUACCUAAUCAGAAAGCCACGGCUAACUACGUG